UACGUAGGGUGCGAGCGUUAAUCGGAAUUACUGGGCGUAAAGCGUGCGCAGGCGGUUUUGUAAGCCAGAUGUGAAAUCCCCGGGCUUAACCUGGGAACUGCAUUUGGGACUGCAAGGCUUGAGUGCAACAGAGGAAACUGGAAUUCCUGAUAUAACAAUGAAAUACAUAAAUAUCAAAAAAAAUACCAAUAACAAAAACAAAUCUCUAAACUAACACUGACACUCAUACACAAAAGCAUAAAAAACAAACAAA
rnacentral:rRNA from 1 species